rnacentral:rRNA from 1 species
CCCUUAGAUGUUCUGGGCUGCACGCGCGCUACACUGAUGCACUCAACGAGUUUACGACCUUGCCCGAUAUGGUUGGGUAAUCUUUUUAAAAUGCAUCGUGAUGGGGAUAGAUUAUUGCAAUUAUUAAUCUUCAACGAGGAAUUCCUAGUAAGCGCGAGUCAUCAGCUCGUGCUGAUUACGUCCCUGCCCUUUGUACACACCGCCCGUCGCUCCUACCGAUUGAGUGCUCAGGUGAAUAAUUCGGACUGCAGCAAUGUUUGGAUCCCGAACGUUGCAGCGGAAAGUUUAGUGAACCUUAUCACUUAGAGGAAGGAGAAGUCGUAACA